UCCAACGAUGAGGAGUGUUGUUCUUCUUAUGAUAAUCAACACUAUAAAAAAGGUAUUGUUAUCAAAGGCAAAAAUAAUUAAAUUUUUAAAAUGCACGAACUACAUUUUUCCGUCAAUUGUUUAAUUAACCAUUGCAACCUCCAAAAACGAAUAAGCUUAGUUCACUCAAAGAUUUUCAUGUGGGAGCAAAAUUCGACAUUGGCGAAUUUCGUUACGUACAUACAUAGCAAAAAUGAAAUGUCAUAAGGUAUCAAAACAUUUCACUGUGAAAAUGGACGGGACGUAACGUCGGCGAAAACAGUUUUGUUGCUGAAGCUGGGCUUCAUAUAACACCAGAAAGCAAUCAGUGACAAAUUCUUUGCACAGUUAUCACUAUAAAGAACAACCUAUACCUGGAAGCAAUAAAAAGCACUAAUCUUGGAAUAUUCUCGUUGGUGGGAGCCUGUGGAAACGCCUGUGGAAUAUAUUUAUUCAUGGAGUACAAAAAUAUUUGAUCGCCGAUAAUGCUGAUCUGUGCAAAGGGAAUUAGUGUUUUGAAUUCAUCGCUACAGUAUUACGAAGUCGAUCGCCGAGCAUGCCACAUUAGAAACAGUGACAGUUCUUGUGCUUUCAACAUUCUUGAAUUCAAUCAGAUAAAGGACAAAUCGGACGACACAGUAUAUAUACGUGUUGAAUUUGAUCGAAACUGUGUAUACGAACUCUGAGUUAGUUCCAUGAUGUUAGUGUUAGGCUUUCAUUUUUCAAAAGGAUCAAACUACAACAAAGUUUCAAAGAUUCAAAGGAACUAGCUACCUUCAGCAAUACUCAUCUUAACAUUCGAUUUCCUUGAAUGACUAACGAGUUGUCUCAAAGUCUUGAAAGGCAAAUAUCGUUCGGUGUUAGUAUUAGAGAACUUUGUAUCGAUUUUCCAGAACAGUUUCAUCAGUGUCAGUAAAUAAAAUGCAUUGCACGAAGAUUAUGGGAAGUAGUAUUCAUUACAAUGCUUUUGCAGAUUUCCGGCGUAGAGGAAUAAUAUUUUAAUUCAGAUCUUUACAGCAAUUUUAUUCAAGUGUAUUGUAUCAUUGAACGCUUAUCAUUGGAGUUCAUGCAUGAA